rnacentral:rRNA from 1 species
GGUAGGGUGGGAGGGGUGGCGGGGGUGAGACGAAAGGUGCGGGAGUUAAUCGGGAGGAGCUGGCGUAGAGCGCGAGUGUGCGGGUAUGUAAGUGUGAUGUGAAAUCCCCGGGCUUAUCCUGGGGAUUGCAUCGGAGACUGGGUAGCUAGAAUGCGGUAGGGGGGGGUGGAAGUCCAGGUGGAGCGGUGAGAGGCGUAGAUAUCUGGAGGAACACCAGUGGCGAAGGCGGCCCCCUGGACUGACAUUGACGCUGAGGUGCGAAAGCGUGGGGAUCAAACAGGAUUAGAUACCCUAGUAGUC